GUGAACGCUGGCGGUAGGCCUAACCCAUGCAAGUCGAACGGCAGCACUGUAAGUGCUUGCUCUUACGGGUGGCGAGUGGCGGACGGGUGAGGAAUACAUCGGAAUCUACUUUUUCGUGGGGGAUAACGUAGGGAAACUUACGCUAAUACCGCAUACGAUCUACGGGUGAAAGCAGGGGAUCUUCGUACCUUGCGCGAUUGAAUGAGCCGAUGUCGGAUUAGCUAGUUGGCGGGGUAAAGGCCCACCAAGGCGGCGAUCCGUAGCUGGUCUGAGCGGAUGAUCAACCAGACUGGAACUGAGACACGGUACAGACUCCUACGGGAGGCAGCAGUGGGGAAUAUUGGACAAAGGGCGCAAGCCUAAUCCAGCCAUACCGCGUAGGUGAAGAAGGACUUCGGGUUGGAAAGCCCUUUUGUUGGGAAAGAAAAGCAGCAGGUUAAUACCCCGCUGUUCUGACGGUACCCAAAGAAUAAGCACCGGCUAACUUCGUG
rnacentral:rRNA from 1 species